GACGAACGCUGGCGGCGUGCCUAAUACAUGCAAGUAGAACGCUGAAGAGAGGAGCUUACUCUUCUUGGAUGAGUUGCGAACGGGUGAGUAACGCGUAGGUAACCUGCCUUGUAGCGGGGGAUAACUAUUGGAAACGAUAGCUAAUACCGCAUAACAAUGGAUGACACAUGUCAUUUAUUUGAAAGGGGCAAUUGCUCCACUACAAGAUGGACCUGCGUUGUAUUAGCUAGUAGGUGAGGUAAUGGCUCACCUAGGCGACGAUACAUAGCCGACCUGAGAGGGUGAUCGGCCACACUGGGACUGAGACACGGCCCAGACUCCUACGGGAGGCAGCAGUAGGGAAUCUUCGGCAAUGGGGGCAACCCUGACCGAGCAACGCCGCGUGGGUGAAGAAGGUUUUCGGAUCGUAAAGCUCUGUUGUAAGUCAAGAACGGGUGUGAGAGUGGAAAGUUCACACUGUGACGGUAGCUUACCAGAAAGGGACGGCUAACUACGUG
rnacentral:rRNA from 1 species